ACCUAUCUGCCUUUCUUGCUUGGGUGCUGUGGGAUUGCACCUUUGUUGGUGCAAACAAGAUCCAGAAGAUGAUGUCCUGGAAAGCUCCCAGCCUAAACAGGUGGUCCGUGGACGAUGGCAAGCUCCCUCUGUGCCAGUGAGAAGGAGACAGCCUCCCUCUGUGAUGUGUCCAGCAAGUCAUUGUAAAACUUUAAAGGCUCUGGGGAGACAGCAAGAGAUUCUCAGCCCUAACUUUGGUGUUUGCUGAGAAACAAAUCCAUGAAUAUAAACCAGAUGCUCCCAGUGGCUCAGCCAAGUCUAUUAGAUAAUGAGAAUAACUUGACUGGGGAGUGAGAUAUG